GACGAACGCUGGCGGCGUGCUUAACACAUGCAAGUCGAACGGAAAGGCCUUUUUCGGGGGGUCCUCGAGUGGCGAACGGGUGAGUAACACGUGAGUAACCUGCACUUUACUUUGGGAUAACUUCAGGAAAAUGGGGCUAAUACCGGAUAGCAGCUCCUGCUGCAUGGUGGGGGCUGGAAAGUUUCGGCGGUUGGGGGUGGGCUGGCGGCGUAUCAGCUUUUGGGUGUGGGGGUGGCUUACCAAGGCGUUGACGGGUAGCCGGACAGAGGGAGUGACCGGCGGCACUGGGACUGAGAUAAGGCCCAGGCUCCGAAGGGAGGCCGCAGGGGGGAAGAUUGCACCAUGGGUGGCAGCCUGGUGCAGCAGCGCCGCGGGCUGGAAAACGGCCUUCUUGUUGUAAACCGCUUUCGCUCAUGACGAAGGUUUGUGUGACGGUAGUGAGUAAAGAAGCACCGGCUAACUACGUG
rnacentral:rRNA from 1 species